rnacentral:rRNA from 1 species
AUUGAACGCUGGCGGCAUGCUUUACACAUGCAAGUCGAACGGUAACAGGCCGCAAGGUGCUGACGAGUGGCGAACGGGUGAGUAAUGCAUCGGAACGUGCCCAGUCGUGGGGGAUAACUACUCGAAAGAGUAGCUAAUACCGCAUACGAUCUAUGGAUGAAAGCGGGGGACCGUAAGGCCUCGCGCGAUUGGAGCGGCCGAUGUCAGAUUAGGUAGUUGGUGGGGUAAAGGCUCACCAAGCCAACGAUCUGUAGCUGGGCUGAGAGGACGACCAGCCACACUGGGACUGAGACACGGCCCAGACUCCUACGGGAGGCAGCAGUGGGGAAUUUUGGACAAUGGGCGCAAGCCUGAUCCAGCAAUGCCGCGUGCAGGAAGAAGGCCUUCGGGUUGUAAACUGCUUUUGUACGGAACGAAACGGCUCUGGUUAAUACCCGGGGCUAAUGACGGUACCGUAAGAUUAAGCACCGGCUAACUACGUG